AAGGUUGAGAGAGAGAGAGAGAAAAAAAAGGAGAAGGAAGGAAAGAACAAAAAGGAAGAAAGGGAAAGGUUACUUACCAUAGGAAAAAAAAAUAUCUAACUCUUACCCAGGAAGGUAAAAUUUCCACCACUGGCACUACUUUGCCCUACAGGUGAGUUUGUGAGUGGCUAAAAUUGAGAGGGUGGUGGUGGAGGGGGCUUUUGCAUAGCCAGACCAGGCCCAGAUUUAAACGGGGCCUUGCUUUUAAUAACUCUCUUCCCUCCCCAAUAUGUCUGUGUUACUCAAAACCAAAGUCAUCCUACAGAAAGCCCCAAGAGUACCUAAAAGUUUCAGCCCAACUGAUAGACUUUAUCAGGGACAAAUCUUAUACCAUCUGGUAUAUUUCAGGGGCUGCUGAGGAAUCCUGGGAGCAGCGAGGGGACGUAAGACUGAGGAAGGCUAGGCCUUACAAAAAAAGAAAAAAACAAAACAGAUGCAGUUCAAAGAAAGCUAGAAUAAUUUUCUUACGAUGAUCAAUACCACAAGUGGGCUGCUGUCAAGGGUUGGAAAAAAACACAACACACAUUGCUGCUGAUAUUUUAAGUACUCUGUUGUUAUCACUGCCUAAUGUAGUUUCUCUUUUCCCUUCCCCCAAGUAAAACAGGUCCCUCGGCUGAAAACCACAAGAUUUUAGCAGUUGCCUAAGUGGUGAACACAAACCGCACAGAGGGCUCACUUCAACAAAAUGACGAUAAACAGCAGUUUUCAAUGCAGGGGGGAAAAAAUUCAAACAAGCACCAGCAGCUUCCCCCCCCCUCCCCUGGGCACCCUCUGCAGCUCUGAGGAAAGACCCAUGCAGGCAAUGAGGAGGGCUUUCUUCCCAUCUACUUGGGAAGGAGGAGGAAUGCACAGGGUCUUUGGCCGAGCCUGGUAAUCUGACAGAGUUGCUCAGCGCACCUUCCAUGACAGUUCAAACCUCAGGCUCAAAGCGGGAGGCACGUGCAGAGUGGCUUUGCGGCAGCUGCCGCAGCAGAGAUUCGUUCAACUUCCCUUUUCUCUUCCAGCGAAGCUGCCUUCGACUGAGUGAGGCCACUGGGUUAGCCUCCACCCAGCGUUUUCUGCUCUGGCUGGCAGUGGCUCUCUAAGGACUCCAGUGUGGCACUGUUCCUAUGGCCUACUUCUUGGGAGGUGAACCUUCUACCCAAGUCCACCCACCGUCUUUCGGCUAUUUUCUCAACUUUUCCAUGUACUUUUGGGAACUUCAAUCAACAUUUGGGUUCACCUGAGAAAGCAUCGAACAGGUUCAGUCUACACAAGGAACAGUGGGAAAACAGUGGUGAACAUCUUCUGCGCAUGGGAAGGAAGGAGGCCUGAAUAAUUCCAGAACCCUUGGCAGCUUCUCUGGCAUCACGUCUCCAUAACAGAGUGAGGCACUUGCAGCCCAAGGAUGCUGAACUAAACCCACCUGGAGAUGAUGGAGAUGAAUUGUACACAUUUUGCUUUUGUGCACAAUGGAAAUUUCCAUCCAGAAGCCUGAACAGCUUCUUCUAAACACCCCGACUGAGCACCUGGCCUGUCACAUCUCUUUGUGGAUUUGCUCAGAAAGGGAAAAGCAGGAGAGUCUGUGGCAGUGUGAAAGUAACUCCUGGAGGAAAUACAUGAAGUCACCUUUCCGCACACUCGUGCCCAGAAAACAUAAUCGGAGAAAAGUUUGGCCAGUUUAAGGGGGAAAAAAAAGUAGAAAUGAACUUGAUUCAUACAGCAACCACCUGGAUGAGGCCUCAUGAAUGUUUUGAAAAAGAAAGGCAGGUUUUCUGCACUAUUAUUGUUCCUUUUGCAGGUUUGAAAGAACACUGUCUCAACAGAAGAAUGUGCUUUCUGAUAUUGCUGGCGAGCACUGCUGCUCAAACCAUGUUAAGAGGAUAUGAGUCUGGGUGGGGCUGAUGCAGCUGGUCUCAGGAUCACAGACCUAAAAGGGCUACACUAAACUGACUUGCAAUCACUGACACCCACACAGACAUUUCCUGUACUUAGAAAAAAAAUCUGUUUCUCUCUUUUGAGGCUCAACAACUUUUACCUAGAAGCUAGAUAGCGGUGAGCACCGAAAGAUCUCUUAUCAGCAGUUGGGUUCCUUUUUUGUUUUUGCACUAAUAAUCUGUUUGAACUCUUAGGAGAGGUCUUAACUGCCGGUUUUUAGCAGAUAUUUAAUGAAGAAAAAAAAGGGGGGGGGAGGGGAGUUUUGAUGCCCAAAUGACUGAAAUGAGCAACUAACCUUUGGUGGGGAAAUGCUUUUGAGAUUCUUCACAUUAGCAUGGUACGGUUACAUGGCUCCUUUCUGAACACUUGAGCAACAUAGCAUAGCACUGUCUGCAAACCUGUGUUAGACCUUUAGCAGCAGGGUGAGAAGAAGUCUGUUGGAGGUCAAUGAACCCUCUCCAGAUUUGGAGAGGUGGGGGAAGAAGCGUAAAUGUUUACCUGUGUCCCAUGCUGGCCAAAUUGGGCCAUCCAGGAUCUCUUUAGCCAAGCCUAAAGCCAAGAAGUACUGAUUGAUACUAUGAACUGUAGGAUAGGCGAAUCUGCCAGCCCAAUAACAUUUCUAAGGGGGAUUUUGAAUUUUGGGUGUGUGCGCCUGCAUGCAUGGAUGUGCAUGUAAAACAAGAUCACCGCAGAGAGAAACAUUUGCAUGUCAUAAAAUUAUUUCGUGACUUUUCCUGUCGGGUGUCAUGCAGGAUGGGAAAAAAGCAAAGCGAGGGACAAAAGAGGCCACCUAGCAACUUCGUACAAUGUUUGGUCUAUUCAAGUCAUGGUGGAAGAAACAAUAACAACAUAACAUUACUUUAUUUGAUUUCUAUUCGCCUAUUUAUUUGGGAACUCGGGAAGUGAAAACUCAAGCCACCCAGCACAGAAACUAAUAAGUAGCUUCCAGAAACCUUGCAAUUAUUCCAAGCAGAGGGACAGAAAGAGCGAAAGGGACAGAAAUGGCGAAAGAGAAUCAAAGCAAACAAGUGAAAGUAUAAGGGCGGGGCGGGGGGGGGGGAGAGAAAAGCUACUCUCUAGAAAAAGUUUGCUUUAGAGGAAACUCGGGGAGUUUCACCACCCCUACCCCUCAAAAAACCAGCCAACCCUUUGCUGUCAUUGGUGAGCAAGCAUC